rnacentral:rRNA from 1 species
AGUGAACGCUGGCGGUAGGCCUAACACAUGCAAGUCGAACGGCAGCACAGUAAGAGCUUGCUCUUACGGGUGGCGAGUGGCGGACGGGUGAGGAAUACAUCGGAAUCUACUUUUUCGUGGGGGAUAACGUAGGGAAACUUACGCUAAUACCGCAUACGACCUACGGGUGAAAGCAGGGGAUCUUCGGACCUUGCGCGAUUGAAUGAGCCGAUGUCGGAUUAGCUAGUUGGCGGGGUAAAGGCCCACCAAGGUGACGAUCCGUAGCUGGUCUGAGAGGAUGACCAGCCACACUGGAACUGAGACACGGUCCAGACUCCUACGGGAGGCAGCAGUGGGGAAUAUUGGACAAUGGGCGCAAGCCUGAUCCAGCCAUACCGCGUGGGUGAAGAAGGCCUUCGGGUUGUAAAGCCCUUUUGUUGGGAAAGAAAAGCAGCAGGUUAAUACCCCGCUGUUCUGACGGUACCCAAAGAAUAAGCACCGGCUAACUUCGUG